CAAGACCAUUCUUACACUGCUCGGGGGAGCCCCUCAGGAGAAGACACAUUUAAGAGUUUCCAGCAAGAAGAGUCAGGUCAUGCAGUCAGCUGCUUUCUCAGCCCAGCUGUGGGAAUGUAAACAAGUUUCUAACCUCAUUGAAUCUUAGGUUCCCUGUUUGAAAACAGAUGAGAUCCACAACAGCCAUUAUUUUAUUGGAUGGUUGUUGUAUGGCAGGGGCUGUACUGAAGAGUCACGCACAUUACUUAGUCUUCCCAACAAUCCUGCAAGAUAUAGAAUCUUGACAUGUUUCUGAGGCUGGUCUGAAACUCCUGGGGCUCAAGCGAUCCACCUGACUCCACCUCUCAAAGUGCUGAGAUUACAGAUGGCAAACCAGGAAAACAGAGCUCAGUACAGAAGGGAGUUGGGCAGCCUCUGUUCCUGUUUGGCUCUGUCCUUGAAGAAAGUGAUAAGAAGUGCACAGAUUUUGGAAUUAAACAGACCAUGGUUUGAAGUCUGGAUCUUCCAGUUGUAACCAGGUGGCAUUGGGGUCUAUGGUUCAUCCUGCAAUAUCAGAGAAUACACAACUGUUGGAAGCUCAUUUGUGCAGAAGCACUAGUUAGACCAAGUCCCAGGAUGGUGGGGACUUGAACUGCCUCAUGCACAUUGUACCCAAGAGCCUGGCCCAUGAAGGUAAAUCAGUGGAUACUUGAAUAAAAAGAAGAAUAUGUG
rnacentral:lncRNA from 1 species